AAAGGCGGAUAACCUAAUGCCAUUUCAAAAUUUAAACGCUUUUUUCCUUCUCUUUCUCUCAAAAUCCCUACUCCAUUCAAAAUUCAGAAAAUGAUGGCCGGUGUAACCACAUAUUCGUGAAGAUGGCGGCCUCGGUUUAGGUAAGACGACAACAGUGGAGAUGAAGUCUAGGGUUUACAGCGGCGCUACAGGCGGUAAAAGUGGUGAUUCUAAACCAAAAGUGAAAGUAGAAGAUGGUGUACGGACGAAACCAAACACAACCUUCAUUUUCCUCUUCAGUAACUUCCUCACUAGAUGAUGCUUGAUGAGCUUGCCGAAGGUUCAACAAAGCCCAGAUCUGAUCGAGAAACAAGACCUUGUUGAAAUGAAGUGUGUGGCGACAUAUAUAUUCGCAUUGUCAUCAUUGGUUCGUCAUCAUAAUUAUAUGUUUGAUCAUGGGCUUAGGAUUUCAUGCUUUGACCUUCGACCACACUUUUUCUACUCUAGCCAAAUUGGUCACCAAAUGUCGCGUGCGUACUUUGAGUUGGUGUGGGUGGUUGUGGUAGAUCAUAUAUAUCACACAUAUAACAACAGGCGAAAGGUCGGAUUUUGCAAAAUUGUAACAUAUGAUGUAUUAUUUUCUGUUUAUAGUUGUCCAUGAGUUUUUCGUGUCUUUUCAAUGUCUGUAUUUUGCAUUUUUUUCAUUAAAUUAGUUUUUUUGUGAGAUGAUCAUCUAUAUAGACAAUAUAAUAUUACUUCUAAUGAAUUACAUAAAUUUGGUGUUGAUCUUGAUGAAUAUGAUACUCUUGAUAUAUGUAAUCUGGGAAAGAGUUAAGGUUAUUAUAUUACCAUGCAUGAACCGAGUUUCAGUUCUUUGGCGAACUGAAUUGUUGGUAGCAAUUGAUAGCAUAGUGACCUGGUUCAUCACAGAAUUUACAAAUAAUUGAACUAUCAUUGCUAGCAUGAGGAGGAGAUCUUAAGGAUAGAAACUGCUUUCAUUCAUUAAUUUUUAGAAAUUGCUUAUUUUUUCAUAUCAGUCCGUUGUGUUAUGGAAUUGAAUGCUAGGCAUUUGGGGCUUUUACUUUUUGGAUGCACAUACACAUGUUCCAGAUUUGGAUAAUUGGAACCGGAGCAAACGGGAACUGGAAUGAUGGCACCAAUGUAGAAUGUCGAGAGGGCAGCUGAAUAUGUUCUUCAUAAAAGGGUUUGGUUUCUGAACUUUACCAUCAAUAAUAUAAUUUGUUUGUAUUUUUAAUAUUGUAUGUUCUGUAGUUAUAAAAAAAAUAUUAUGAUCUCAUCCAGGUUUGACGGGUCUAACUGCUUUCACAAGUGAACCGAUAAAGUAGUAGGUUUGAUAACCAGUUCAAUUUUUUUAAGACAUUGAUUUUCAUUAAAGAUGGUAAAAUUAUCAAAAUGUAAAUGAGUUGAAACAUUUUUUUCAUUCUUGGAAGCCUUUAAGUGGAUUUAUGAACUCAACAAAUGAUUUAUAGGACAACAUCUGUGUAUGGAAACAAAUGGCAUAUGAUUAAAGUGUGUUGGUUAUGUUAAGUUUUAUCGUAUAGUCUAAUCAAGAUUAUAGGGACACAAGCUUCCUAUAGGUUUGAAUCAAUUAUGCCCUAGAUCGAUAAUUUGGCUUGCUUCAAUUUAUAUUGUACGGUUCGGUAAGUUUCUAUGCUUUAUGAGCACUUCUACUUUUAAGUGAACGUAGUGUGAUGAACUUAGUUGCAAAACAACUUAUUGUUGUAUUGAAACUUAGUAAACAGGCCCUAGGUGUAACAAGGAAUCUUAGACACUAAACACCUCGUAUAUUUAUGUAUUAUAGAAACUUUUUUUAUUGAGUUGUCUAUUUUCAUCUUCUAUCAUGUUUAAAUUAAAUGGCAGGAUGAAAUCGGUAUCCUGAUGAGCAAUACGACAAUCCUCACUAAUAUCUCUCAAAUGGGCCGCCUUCUGGGGUGUAUGUACAUCCGCUCAUGCCACCUGAUCAAAUUAUUUUGGAAGAAGGAAUUGAAAUACAACAUCACGAAAUUUGCAAGCUUUUAGGCAAAAAUCGAAGAUUAGUUGAAGAUCAAGUCACUCUGCAACAAGAUUUAGGUUCUGCACGAGAAGAAUUUAGGAAAAUGAACAUUGCAAUUACUAAAAUUUAAAAAGAAAAUGAUCUGCAUUCAAAGAAACUUAUUGAGAGGGGAUCGAAGCUUAAAGAUGGUAAGAAAGCAACUGAAUCAUUCAUUCAACUGAUUUUUACCCUGAACUAAUUUAUGAAUUUUGAUGUCGUCACUCUCUCUAAUAGAUUAGAAUCAUUCUUUAAACCUGUCU